AGCAGCCGCGGUAAUUCCAGCUCCAAUAGCGUAUAUUAAAGUUGUUGCAGUUAAAAAGCUCGUAGUUGAAUUUUGGGUCUGGCCGGGCGGUCCGCCCUCUGGGUGAGCACUGUUCCGACGCCGGGCCUAUCCUUCUGGUGAGUCGGCAUGUCCUUUAUUGGGUGUGCCGGGGAACCAGGACCAUUACCUUGAAAAAUUAGAGUGUUCAAAGCAGGCGUAUGCUCGGAUACAUUAGCAUGGAAUAAUGAAAUAGGACGCGUGGUGCUAUUUUGUUGGUUUCUAGAACCGCCGUAAUGAUUAAUAGGGAUAGUUGGGGGCAUUAGUAUUCAAUUGUCAGAGGUGAAAUUCUUGGAUUUAUUGAAGACUAACUUCUGCGAAAGCAUUUGCCAAGGAUGUUUUCAUUAAUCAAGAACGAAAGUUAGGGGAUCGAAGACGAUCAGAUACCGUCGUAGUCUUAACCAUAAACUAUGCCGACUAGGAAUCGGGCGAUGUUAUUCUCAUGACUCGCCCGGCGCCUUAU
rnacentral:misc_RNA from 1 species